CCUUAGAGUUCUGGGCCGCACGCGCGCUACACUGACGGAGCCAGCGAGUACCUCCUUGGCCGGAAGGCCCGGGUAAUCUUGUUAAACUCCGUCGUGCUGGGGAUAGAGCAUUGCAAUUAUUGCUCUUCAACGAGGAAUCCCUAGUAAGCGCAAGUCAUCAGCUUGCGUUGAUUACGUCCCUGCCCUUUGUACACACCGCCCGUCGCUACUACCGAUUGAAUGGCUCAGUGAGGCGUCCGGACUGGCCCAGAGAGGUGGGCAACUACCACUCAGGGCCGGAAAGCUCUCCAAACUCGGUCAUUUAGAGGAAGUAAAAGUCGUAACAAGGUCUCCGUUGGUGAACCAGCGGAGGGAUCAUUACCGAGUUUACAACUCCCAAACCCCUGUGAACAUACCUACAACGUUGCCUCGGCGGCUCCCCGCUUCCCCGUAAAACGGGAGCGGCCCGCCAGAGGACCCAACAAACUCUGUUAUUUUCAGUAUCUUCUGAGUAAAAACACAAUCAAUUAAAACUUUCAACAACGGAUCUCUUGGUUCUGGCAUCGAUGAAGAACGCAGCGAAAUGCGAUAAGUAAUGUGAAUUGCAGAAUUCAGUGAAUCAUCGAAUCUUUGAACGCACAUUGCGCCCGCCAGUACUCUGGCGGGCAUGCCUGUUCGAGCGUCAUUACAUCCCUCAAGCCCCAGCGGCUUGGUGUUGGGCUUCGGCCGUCCUCACGGCGGCGUGCCCCAAAUAACAGUGGGGGUCUCGCCCCCCGGCUCCUCUGCGUAGUAGUAACAUCUCCCCACUGGGACGGAACCGAAGGCCACCCCCUUAAAAAAAACCCAACUUUUCUGAAAGGUUUGACCCCCGAAUCAGGGGAGGGAAUACCCGCUUGAACUUUAAGCC
rnacentral:rRNA from 1 species